AGAGUUUGAUCAUGGCUCAGAACGAACGCUGGCGGCAGGCCUAACACAUGCAAGUCGAGCGCCCCCGCAAGGGGGAGCGGCGGACGGGUGAGUAACGCGUGGGAAUUUUCCUCAAGGUACGGAACAACUCAGGGAAACUUGGGCUAAUACCGUAUGAUGUCUAGCGACCAAAGAUUUAUCGCCUUGGGAUAAGCCCGCGUCAGAUUAGGUAGUUGGUGGGGUAACGGCCUACCAAGCCUGCGAUCUGUAGCUGGUCUGAGAGGACGAUCAGCCACACUGGGACUGAGACACGGCCCAGACUCCUACGGGAGGCAGCAGUGGGGAAUCUUGCGCAAUGGGCGAAAGCCUGACGCAGCCAUGCCGCGUGAAUGAUGAAGGUCUUAGGAUUGUAAAGUUCUUUCGCCCGUGACGAUGAUGACGGUAACGGGAGAAGAAGCCCCGGCUAACUUCGUGCCAGCAGCCGCGGUAAUACGAAGGGGGCUAGCGUUGUUCGGAAUUACUGGGCGUAAAGCGCGCGUAGGCGGUUUUGCAAGCCAGAGGUGAAAUGCCUGAGCUCAACUUAGGAAUUGCCUUUGGGACUGCGAGGCUUUGAGGACUGGAGAGGUGAGUGGAAUUCCCAGUGUAGAGGUGAAAUUCGUAGAUAUUGGGAAGAACACCAGUGGCGAAGGCGGCUCACUGGCCAGUUUCUGACGCUGCAGCGCGAAAGCGUGGGGAUCAAACAGGAUUAGAUACCCUGGUAGUCCACGCUGUAAACGAU
rnacentral:rRNA from 1 species